UGGCCGGGACGCCAGAGCUCCUCUCCGGUGACGGUGUGAGGGCCGACGUUUGCUGGAGCUUCGCGCCCGGGCCCUGCAUUUUUCUCCGAGGUGCUUUGUAAAAGGGACUAUUCCUUCAUCUCGGGGAAAUUUUGCAUCAUGGCUCCCCUUUCUGCUUUUCACGGGCAUCGUCUGCCCUCUCCAUGAGACGAACUUCCGAAGCCCCCUCGCUCUCGGCUCGGAGUCCGAACACGAAUGAGUUUGGGGAUUUCGGAGACCCUGUCCCGCUUCUAGCUGAAUUGGGGUGUCCCCUGACUACCGCACACUUGGGCAAACUUCUCCAUAAACGGACCAGGGAACGCAGCCCCCGAGAAAGGAUUCUUCACGGCCGCUGCCCCCAGCUUUCGAGACUGCGCCUCUUAUUCCCCAGAAAACCUCGUUUGGGAUAAUGUCUCGCCAUUCCCACCUCACCAUCCCCAGUUCUGAAUCUUCCUUAGGCGAAGGUCAUCUCCGAGAAUGCGACUUCGGUGUUGACGUCAUUUUAGCUGCCGCAUCACUUACACGGUGCACCUCUUGUCUGUCCCAGAGGAUGGCAGCGAUUUAAGAGUUGUCUCCCUGGCCACAAGCCCCUGGCUCCCACCCCAUGAUGGCUUCUCCAGCUUUGUUUUUUUCUUUAAUAGAUGAAGAAAGAGAUCCAAGCAAAACAGCUGUGGCAGCAGUCAAGAAAGCUUGAGCAGCCCAUGUUUGAGAGAGGAACCCCUGCACAGCCUUAGAGAAGACCUUGAAGAGACGAUGUCAGAGAAGGAGGUUUGUGAGGACCCAGGACAGAGUGUGAUAACUGGAGAUUUCAUAACACUGCUCAGAACGGUGCACAAUUUGAAACUUAUGAAUUGUUUAUUUCUGGAAUUUUCCACUUAAUAUUUUUGGACCUCAUUGACUGCACGUAACUGAAACCGCAGAAAGGGAAACCGCUUUAUGGCAACAUCAUGUUGCCAGUACAAACGUUCACUGCAGCAGGCCAUGAAAGGAAAGGCUGAGAGAUGAGGCUAUGUAAUAUUAGCAAUGUCUGCCUGUCAAAAAAUCAUUAAAAUAUUUAAAAGGCAAACUGGAAAAAUAUUCAUUAUGUGUGACAAGAGUUCUUACAAAUGAAGAAGAAAAUUUAAUAGGCUUGAAUGGAGAACUCCUAAAAGAAAUUGUCACUAAAUCUAUGGAAAAAAUAUUCUCAGCUUCACACUAAAAAGUUAAAAUGGGGGCCGGCCCCGUGGCUGAGUGGUUAAGUUCGCGCGCUCCACUGCAG
rnacentral:lncRNA from 1 species